rnacentral:rRNA from 1 species
GACGAACGCUGGCGGCGUGCCUAAUACAUGCAAGUAGAACGCACAGUUUAUACCGUAGCUUGCUACACCAUAGACUGUGAGUUGCGAACGGGUGAGUAACGCGUAGGUAACCUGCCUGGUAGCGGGGGAUAACUAUUGGAAACGAUAGCUAAUACCGCAUAAUAUUAAUUAUUGCAUGAUAAUUAAUUGAAAGGUGCAAUUGCACCACUACCAGAUGGACCUGCGUUGUAUUAGCUAGUAGGUGAGGUAACGGCUCACCUAGGCGACGAUACAUAGCCGACCUGAGAGGGUGGUCGGCCACACUGGGAGUGAGACACGGCCCAGACUCCUACGGGAGGCAGCAGUAGGGAAUCUUCGGCAAUGGACGAAAGUCUGACCGAGCAACGCCGCGUGAGUGAAGAAGGUUUUCGGAUCGUAAAGCUCUGUUGUAAGAGAAGAACGGGUGUGAGAGUGGAAAGUUCACACUGUGACGGUAUCUUACCAGAAAGGGACGGCUAACUACGUG